UCAAUAUUCAAUACAAUCAAAGUAAGUAGAAAAGAAAAAGCUAGAAAAUGGCGAAACAGUCAAAGUUGGCUCUCUUGGCAUUUCUGAUGCUGGCUAUAGCUGGUGCGACGAUGGGGACGAUGCAAGCAAACAGUGAGACAAACCCUGAAGUCAUGAAAGCAUCCAUAAUACAAGAACUGGGAAAGGAACAAGUUGUUGCUGUUGCUGUUAUUAUAAUUACCUGCAGGCAAUAUUGCAUAACUUUAAAAAAGUAGGCUUGGAAGAAGCAAAUCUGGCCAUGGUUACUGAACAAAAGCCACUUAAAUGCCAGAAAAAAGGAGGCAUUUGUAAUGCAUUGGGUGGCUCUGAUUGUUGUCCCGGACUUGGUUGUGUGCCGGGCUAUCCAAUUGGCACUGGUUAUUGCUACUAAGAAUUAAGAAAUUAAAGGAUAUAAUGUAUGUAUCCGACCUAGGCCGCCGCCUGGCCUGCUGUACGUUAUUUCAAAUUAUGUAUGUUAUGUAACUGUGUUGUGUCAUGUGCUAUCAUCGAUGCUUAUAUAGUUAUAUAAACUUCAAUAAAUUGUUCACUUUCCUUUA